ACGGAGGGUGCAAGCGUUGUUCGGAAUUAUUGGGCGUAAAGGGCGCGUAGGCGGUAGCGUUAGUUAGAUGUGAAAUCCUUCGGCUUAACUGAAGAACUGCAUUUGAUACUGCGCAACUAGAGUACUGGAGAGGGAAAUGGAAUUCCCGGUGGAGUAUUUGCUGUCGUAGUUAUCAGGCGGAGGGGCAAAGGCGGGGGCAAAUAACAGGACAAAUACCCAUAUUAGCCCGGCUAAGUGUCAAAAACAUGGAG
rnacentral:rRNA from 1 species